AUAAGCCUGCCGUGCACGUGAUCCGCACUAGGUUUUGAGCCAACACCCAAACAUAGGGGAUCACUCUCUGUGCGUGAACGCAGUAGGACUCGUUCUGAAGCGAACACGCCAGGUAGAUCACCCACCUGCGAAAGCAGGUUCAAAACGUCGCGGUACACGGCAUGGCGGGAAGGUC
rnacentral:other from 1 species